ACAUUUCUUGCAAGGCAGGUCUACUGGUGACAAUUUUCCUCAGUUUUGAUUUGUCUGAGAAAGUAUUUCUUCUUUUUUGAAGGAUAAUUUUACUCGGUAAAUAAUUCUAGGUUGGAAGUUUUUUCCUCCUUUAAUACUAAAUGUUUUACUCCAUUCAAUUGCAUGGUUUGUGAAGAGAAGACCAAUGACAGUCUUUUUCUUCUUCCUCUACAGGUCAGUGUUUUGUAACCAGAAUAGAGGAGGUCUCAUGGAAAUUUGAAUGGAGAAAAAUGGAGAGAGAACUCAAUCACAUGGAGUGCAGUAGGAGCCAUGUACCAAACUGAAAAGGCUGUAGUCACAUCAGACAAUAGCUGAAGAAUGUGAGAAAGAAAAAUCAAAAGCACACAAAUGAGACUGUGCAGUGAAGAGGCCACAGAGACAACCAUACUGUCUUUUUGUAUCACAAUAAGCAAAAAACAGCGUCUCAGUAUGUUGCUCAGGCUGUUCUUGAACUCCUGGGCUCAAAUCAUCUCCCACCUCAGCCUCCCAAACUGCUGGGUUUACAGGCAUGACCAACUGCACCCAGGUACUCCACAAGUUAAGAAGAGGUUAUGUCACAGUAAAUCCAUCCUCUCUGGAAGCAGGUAGAAGUAAACAUGCACCAUUCUGAGAAUUUUGCUGCUUAGAAAUUUCUCCUACCAGAUACGCUCUUCUAUCACUCUUAAGUUCAGUCUUCCGGCUGGGUGCAGUGGCUCACGCCUGUAAUCCCAGCACUUUGGGAGGCCGAGGCAGGCGGAUCACAAGAAUACCAAGGAAAGAGGUUUAUUGAGCACGUGGUUCUCUAGGCUGGGAAGUUCAAGACUGGACAGCUGCAUCUGGAAGCUUCUGGUAAAGGCUUUGUACAGUAUGAAAAUAUAGAGAAACAGAAGGGGAAGCAGGUGUUGUUAAGAGACCAGACAUGAGAGACAGCCUCAUUUUAUAACAGCCAGGGUAACUAAAUCAGUCUGAGGAGAGCAAGAAUUUACUCUUGGAAAAAAGACAUUAACUUCUCUUAACGAUCUAAUCUUAAGGCACAAUGUCUCAACAAUGUCUCACUUGGGAACAAGCAUCAACGUGAGUUUUGAUGGGAACAAACCAUCUUCAAAUUAUAGCAGUUUACUUUUCACUCUAUUAAUUGUGUUCUUUGAUGAAUGAAAGUUUUUGAUUUUGAUCAAGGCCAAUUUAUCUAUUUCUUCUUUUUUGUUAUCUGUACUUUUUAUGUCAUACCUGUAAAAUCAUUGCCAAACUCAAUGCCAUGAAUUCUUUUAUCCAUAUUUUCUCCUAAGAGUUUUAUAUUUUAGCUCUUAUGUUUAAGUCUUUGAUACAUUUUGAGUUAAAUUUUGUACAUGGUGUAAUAUAAAUAUCCAACUUUUGCAUGUAGAUAUAUUUUCCCAAGCAAAAUUGUUGAAAAGACUGUUCUUUUCCCAUCGAAUAAUUUUGGCACACCUGUAAAAAAUAACUGGAUUAUGAAUUCAGGGGUUGAUUUCUGGACUGCCUAUUACUGCCAAUUAGUAUUUAUGCCUGUACCACACUGUUUUGAUUACUGUAGCUUUGUAAUAACUUCUGAAAUUAAGGAGCAUAAGACCUACAAGUGUGUUUUUUCUCAAGAUUGUUUUGGCUAUUCAGGUCCCUUGAGAUUCCAUGUAAACUUUAGGAUGUAUUUUUCUAUUUCUGCAAAAAACAUCAUUGAAAUUUUUAUAGGGAUUUUCACUAAAUCUAUGGAUCAUUUUAUGUAGUAUUGACAUUUUAACAUUAUUCUAAUCAGUGAAAAUGGAUUUCCAUUUAUUUAUGUCUUCUUUAAUUUCUGUCAGCUUCAUUUUAUAGUUUUUAGUGUACAUGUCUUUAGCCUGCUUGGUUACAUUUAUUUCUAAGUAAAUGAAAUUGUUUUUUAUAUUUCCUUUUCAGAUUGUUCAUUAUUAGUGAACAAUGAUAUGCAGCUAAAUUUCAUGUGUUGAUUUUGUAUUCUGCAACAUUGCUGAAUUUAAAUUAGAACUGAGCCCUAUUAGUUUUUUGCCACAUUUUUAGGAUUUUCUGUGUGUAAGAUCAUGUCUUUUAAAAGAAAUAAUUUUAGUUUUAUUUUUCCAAUUUCAAUGUAUUUCAUUUAUUUAUUUGUUGCCUAAUUUCCCUGGUGAGGAGUCUAUUAAAUAGAGGGAUGAAAGUGGGUAUCCUUACAUUGUUUGAUUCUAAGUUUCUUUUUAAAUUAUAAACACAGAAAUAAAAAUGCUGAACAUAUUUGUUUGAUUGAUGCAAUUGAAUUUUAUGUUCUAAAGGUAUGUAUUUUAUGUUUAUGUCAAUUUGCAAAAUAAUUAUAAUUGUCUUUAUUGUGGGAAUUUGGGAUCAGUUACUCAAUCAAAUGAUUGCUCAGUUCUCUAUUUUACUUCUCUCAGUAGCAAAGGUAUAACAGAAGGAGCUUGUGGAAUGCUCAUUAAGUUACAAACAGACUGGUAAUUUAACAAUGGACUGCCAAUAGAACAAUAAAGCCUGUGUAGCUUUAUUGUCUUGAUACAGCGCAUAAUUUUUGACAGAAGCAAUAGAUUUUUUUCAUUUUUCUAAAAAACUUGUUCUCAAGAUAAUAUUUGUGUAGCUCUGCAGGAAUAGACAUCAUCUGCUGAGAGGCAUUCAUAAAAAUAAAUAAUGGGGGAAUUCCCCUCCAGCCCCUAUACACACUUUCUUUGAAAAGCAGUGACCAUCACUGCAUUUGGCUUUUUUAAUUGGCACUGAUUUCCUUUUUUGGCAAAUGAAACUCAAUUUUUCAUACAAGCCAGCCUUCACUGUCUAAUCCUAAAUAUAGGGGCAGCUUUAUCACUUACAUUUGGCAUGGAAGGCUAUACAAAUCUAUUUGGCUUAUUUAAUUCACUGAAAGAGGUAAUUUUCUAAAUAACUUCUAUUGGCCUAAAGGAGGUAAGGUGCUGCCAGGUGGGUAGUUUAUUCUCAUUGGCACAAUCAUAUCAGGACAUGAACGGGAUCCUCACUCUGGGUUUCUAGACACACAAACAAGCAGAACAUGCAACUAAGCAAAGGGAUUUGUACUCUUUCUGUAUUGGUAAGAUUCUCUUAACCUUUGCUGUAUGGAUAUAUAUAUAUAUAUCCCUUGAACAACACAGGUUUGAACUACAAGGGUCCACUUAUACACAGAUUAUUUUUAAUCAAUAUGUUUAUUUAUUAAGGUAGAUAUGUAGCAAAUGCAUAAAAUACACAUAGAUACUAGUCUAUUUACAUGCUAAUCAAUCAUUUAUGUUAUCAGUAAGGCUUCCAGUCAAUAGUAGGCUAUAGUAGUUAAGUUUGAGGAGUCAAAAGUUAUGCAUAAAUUGUCAAUUGCAUGAGAAUUGGCACCCCAACCCCAACAUUGUCCAAUGGUCAAAUGUAUAUAAAUAUAUAUAAAUGUAUACUGUAUAUAAAAUAAUAUUUCUGUUAUAUUAAUGAUUAGGAUUUUUAAAUGUUUGUAUUUUGAAAUAUAACACAUAUAUAUAAUGCAUAAAAUGAAUCUAUAAUGCAACAAAUUAUCACAGAAAUCAAGCAUGUAAUGCUCAUCCAAAAAAAGAAAUAGACCACAAGAAAUAGUUCUUUCUGUGCAAUCUUCACUCCAACCAUCUCCUUCCUCAUGAAAGGUAACCACUACUCUGACAUCUGAUUCUAAAGUUCAAAUUUGCCAUAGAAAUCCUUAAAUAAAUUGAAUAAUAUGUAUUCUU
rnacentral:lncRNA from 10 species